GUUGGGUUAAGUCCCGCAACGAGCGCAACCCCUAUCAUUAGUUACCAGCGGGUAAUGCCGGGAACUCUAAUGAGACCGCCACUUUUCAAGGUGGAGGAAGGUGGGGAUGACGUCAAGUCAUCAUGCCCCUUAUGUCUUGGGCUACAAACGUGCUACAUUGGCCGGUACAAAGGGCUGCAAACCUGCGAGGGUGAGCGAAUCCCAAAAAAGCGGUCUCGGUUCGGAUUGGAGGCUGAAACUCGCCUCCAUGAAGGUGGAGUUGCUAGUAAUCGCGGAUCGGCAACGCCGCGGUGAAUAUGUUCCCGGGUCUUAUACACACCGCCCGUCACACCACGAAAGUCGGCAAUACCCGAAGCCGGUGGCCUAACCCGCAAGGGAGGGAGCCGUCGAAGGUAGGGUUGAUGAUUGGGGUGAAGUCGUAACAAGGUAA
rnacentral:rRNA from 1 species